rnacentral:lncRNA from 1 species
CUUUCAUCCACUUUGGUGAACGACAUGCCAGUGUUGGCCAGAGAUGACACAGCAUUGGAGAGUGUGCUCGCCCUACAAAAAAAUUCAGGGAGAGAUAUAUUGGGCUUCUCAAAAUGCAUCCUUUAGAAGUCAAUCAAUUGUAUUCAGUUGUGAGCGAGACGCAUGAAUGGCCCACCUGCUGGCGGCGGUGGAGUCCUUCACCUUCUUUCCUUCUAAUGAAGCCAAGUGUUGCUCCAGGGCAUCCAAAAGACUGCUGGGGGCCUGAGAGGAACCACAAACAUUUACUUAACCCCGACCAAUUCCAAAAAACAACAGGUCAGGUAUGUCCCCGCGGUCUAUUCCCACCUGCUGUGAGGCGAGAGGACAAAUGUGUUACACAGCACUCUUUUAAUGAAGUCCCCUGCUAACCAGAAAUGACACAUGAGAAUCUCACCUCUGCCACUUUGAGGAACUCCGAGAUCCGGGUCAUUCGGGUGAGGAAUUUCUUGUAAAUGUCCAACCCUUCUUUGCACUGAACUUUUUUCAUAUCAAAGUACUUUUCUGUGAGAGGAUGAUGAAGCAAUGUGUGUUACCAGUCAGCAUCAUACCGUUAUCUGCAUGUGUAAGAAUUCAAGUGCCCUGUUAUGCUAUUUUAAUAGUUCCUAUUUGUUUUUUGAUGCCUCCUAAAAUAUGCAGGGUUCCCAUUCU